GAGAGAUAGAUAGGUACAGAGAGAUAGAUAGGUACAGAGAGAUAGAUAGGUACAGAGAGAUAGAUAGGUACAGAGAGAUAGAUAGGUACAGAGAGAUAGAUAGGUACAGAGAGAUAGAGAUAGGUACAGAGAGAGAGAGAUAGGUACAGAGAGAGAGAGAUAGGUACAGAGAGAUAGAUAGGUACAGAGAGAGAGAGAUAGGUACAGAGAGAGGGAGUAAGAGAGAGACUGCAGUGCUAGUCUGAUGGUGCAUGAGAAGCCCCUGACCUCUGUUCCUCACUGUCAUACUGUUAAAUGAGGGAAAAGUCAAUGGUGUGACCGCUCCCUUCACCACCAGCCUAGAAGCUAGAUUUAUUUUCUCUGAACUCUAUCCGCCCUCUCCCCUCUAUCCCUCCUUCUGUCUCCCUCGCUCACACUUCUCUCCAUCUGCUCCCUCUCACCUCUCUCACGACACGCCAUCCUCCCUUCCUCCCUCAGUUCUGACACUCUCUCGCUCGCUCUGUGUUUCUCUCUCUGUCUCCUCAUCUCUCUCUCUCUCUCUCUGUCUCCCUCUCUCUCUGUCUCUCUCUCUCUCUCUCUCUCUCUCGUCUCUCUCUCUCUGCGUCUCUCUCUCUCUCUCUGUCUCCCUCUCU